rnacentral:rRNA from 1 species
ACAGAGGGUGCGAGCGUUGUCCGGAAUCACUGGGCGUAAAGGGCGCGUAGGCGGCCGGGUAAGUAGGGGGUGAAAUCCCACAGCUCAACUGUGGGGCUGCCUUCUAGACUGCUUGGCUCGAGCACGGUAGAGGCUGGUGGAAUUCCCGGUGUAGCGGUGGAAUGCGUAGAGAUCGGGAAGAACAUCGGUGGCGAAGGCGGCCAGCUGGGCCGUUGCUGACGCUGAUGCGCGAAAGCGUGGGGAGCAAACAGGA